rnacentral:lncRNA from 1 species
AUGAACAUAAUGAGAAAAAAAGUUUUAUUCUUACUGAGUUCAGCCAGUGUUAAACCCUUCCUAAACCAUUGUAUUGCUCUACAGGUGUUGUGGUUUCUACAGGCACGUGGCUAUAACCAUAGGUAUUUGAGGUCUGUUACCCAUCUUGACAUCACUGCUGCAGCUGUUGACUCCUCCCACCCACCGCCUACCUCCCAUCCACACUGUGAUUAUUCUUGGCUGUCCUGUUUAGCCUGGAGUUUUGAGAGCAAAACGAACUUGGUGUCAGAGCAAAGAGAGAGAACUUAUUUUUAAAGUCUUUCCAGAGAUGACUAAUCUACUGAAGAGAGAGGUGAAGCAAUGACAGUGUGUCGGUGAGAAAACUGGGUUUGCUGGGGAUGGCUCAGAUGCCUUUGCAAAUUAGUGCUUUGGGAGAGGAAGGACAAAGAUGGAAUUUGGGGGAAAACAACUGUAACCAAUGAAUGGUAUGUGGGAAAACAGUAAGACUGCAGUGGUUCAGGUUUGUUAAAAGUUGAAUUGUGUUCCUCAGAAAGCAAUGUGGAAGUCCUAAUCCCCAGUACCCAUGAAUGCGACCUUAUUUAGAAAUAGGCCCGUGUGACUGGGUGCAGUGACUCACACCUGUAAUCCCAGCACUUUGGGAGGCCAAGGCGGGCAGAUCACAAGGUCAGGAGAUCGAGAACAUCUUGGCCAACAUGGUGAAACCCCAUCUCUAAUAAAAAUACAAAAAUUAGCUGGGCAUGGUCGCGAUGCCUGUAGUCUCAGCUACUCUGGAGGCUGAGCAGGAGAAUUGCUUGAACCUGGGAGGCAGAGGUUGUGGUGAGCCGAGAUCAUGCCACUGCACUCCAGCCUGGGCAACAAGAGUAAAACUACAUCUAGAAAAGAAAAGAAAAGACAAGAAAAGAAAAAAGAAAGAGGCCUUUUCAGAUAUAAUCAAGUUAAGGUAAGUUUAUUGAGGGAAGCUUUUAAUCUAAAGUGUCUCUUGUCCUCAUAAAAUGGAAAGACACAGAUGCACAGAGGCAGCACCAUGUGACAGCAGAAGCAGAGACUGAAGUGAUGCAGCUGCAAACCAAGCGACUCCUGGGCUACCAGAAACUUGAAGAGGCAAGGAAGAAUAUCCCAUUGUGUACAUGGAACACAUUUUCUGUAUCCAUUCAUUAGCUGAUGGACACUUAGGCUGCUUCCAUAUACAAUGGAAUAUGAUACAGCCUUUUACAAAGAAGAAAAUUCUGUUAUUUGCCGCAAAUGGAUGCCUGCUAAGUGAAAUAAGCCAGGUAUGGAAAAACUAAUACCACAUGAUCUCACUUACAUGUGGAGUCUAAAACGAUUGAACUCAUAGAAUUAGAGAGUAAAACGGUGGUGACCAGAGGCUAGGGGGGUGAGGUGGAGAUGGAGAAAGGGGAGAUGUUGAUCGAAG